CUCUCCUUCUCACUCUCACUCCCCCUCUAGGGUUCCCAAGCUGUCGCGAGAGGGACCAAGGCCACCUUGCCGUCAACGCCUCCAAGACCAGAUCUAUCGAGAUGACGUGCUCAUGCUAAGCUUGCACUAUGCCGCGAGAUCUUCCAAGAUCCUGUUUCAAAUGAUUUUCUGGGAGUGAUGAGAAGAAGGAAAGGAGAUCUGAAAAUAAGAGUGGGAAAAAACCUGUAAGAAGAAAACACCAAAAUGUUUUUUUUCGACCAAGAAAAGAUCCGAAAAUGAAUUUGAUUCCUAAAGUUAAUUUCUUUUCGACAAUCAAAAAGUUUCCAGCUUGUUGGGUGUUGCCAUGGCCGACGCUCUUGUUGAUUUCGGCAGCCAUGCUUCGCAACCUUGCUGACAAGCUCUAUGAGAAGCAUAAAAAUGCUGCUCUUGAUAUUGAGGGGAUAGUGAAGCAGCUAGCUACUGCUGGGGAUCAUGAUAAAAUAACGGCUGUGAUCAAUUUGUUGACUACAGAAUUUACUUAUUGACCACAAGCCAACCAUCGGAAGUCAGAUUAAAACUCGAGAAAUUGUUGCUCUGAAGAAAAUACGAAUGGACAAUGAGAGAGAAAGGAGCACCAGCUGAGGUGAACUGGCCUGGUGUUUCUAAGACUCCUUGGUAUAAUCAAUUUAAGCCAACAAGACCAAUGAAAAGACGUCUCCGGGAAGUUUUCAGACAUGUGAAGUCUAUCAAUGAGACACUCAUUCUGCAAAGUCCAGGAUCUGAUGCAGAUAUUAUCAUCCUCAACCCAAAUUCAGGCUUUGAGAUAACUGCAAAGUCCCACCACUCCAAACUGGACACAAAUGUCUAUGAGGGAAGGAGAGGAAAGAAUGUUCAUAUCGAUAGUUAGUUACAAGUGGUGUAUAAAAAAAGUAAGAUUUGGGAGCUAUAUUGAGUUUGCCAAAGUUGAGAAGCGUGUUACAACUACAAGUGGUGGAAGUACAGGAACUGUAAGGGAGAUAACCAAUAUAGAAUGAGUGGACAGGCUUUGGAGUUCAAGCAACUUAACACUCAUGCUUGGGAAGCAUUUGAGAAAGGCCAGGAUAUCCACAUGCAAGCUGCACCUUCCCAAGCUGAAUUGUUGUAUAAGAAUUUUAAGAUAAUAAAAGAGAAGCUGAAGUCACAAACAAAAAAUGCCAUAGUGGAGAAGUAUGGAAAUGCUGCAUCCCAAGAAGAGCUUCCAAAGGAGCUUCUUUUGGGACAAACAGAGAGACAGGUAGAAUAUGAUAGGGCUGGCAGAAUCAUAGAAGGCCUGGUAUUGUUCAAUAUGAAGUUCAUGUUGAUUUUCUUUUUAUGAAUUAAACAUUUAUUUUCCUUUUUGUUGGUCUUGCAUGAUCAAUUGACUUGUUUGUACAGGAACAAAAUGUAAUUAAUAUGUCCAAAUCUUAGGCUCAAGCUUAAUUUUAAAAGGUUGAGUUAUG